CCAGUCGGCUGGACGGCCGCGGGUGCGCAAGCGCUCGAGGAAAGUCCGGGCUCCACGCGGAAACGGCGGCGGGUAACGCCCGCCGGAAGCAAUUCUAGGGAUAGCGCCACAGAGAACAGACCGCUUGAGGCUUCGGCCAAGAGUAAGGGUGAAACGGUGGUGUAAGAGACCACCGCGCCGACCGUAAGGAAGGCGGCACGGCAAGCCCCGCCGGGAGCAAGACCGAAUAGGGACACACGGGGCGAAAGCCUCACGCGCGUCCGCGCGUCGUGUCCGGGUUGGUCGCGAGAACCAUGCGGCGACGUAUGGUCCAGAGGAAUGGUCGUCACCUGGGCUACGAUCCAGGCUACAGAACCCGGCUUAUAGGCCGACUGGCAUU
rnacentral:RNase_P_RNA from 2 species